UGAAGCUCAGGCGCAGAUCCUCUCGCCUCAGCCUCCUGAGCGCUGGGAUUACAGAUGUGCACCAUCACGUCUGGCCGACCCCCGUUCUACACGUGUGUAAACUGAGGCAGAGAGAGGAGUGUCCUGUCCUUCUGAAUGAGGGGACGCCGUGAAUAGGACCGGACAUCACUCAGAGCAGGUGACAGCUGAUAUGACACCAACCAGAAAGGAGCAUCUGCGGUGGGCCAGGCCCUACCAGGUGAUGGCCGGGCAGAGGGUCCAGGAAUCAGAGGGCAUCAGAGCAAGACGUCUGUGAUAUCCUCGAGGAACCAAACUGCUGUGCUGAGAGAAAGUUGAGACCUGACGGGCACAGUGAGCGCCAGGAAGCGAUGAUCAGCGAUUCUGCAGUUCCCCUCGACCUCAUUCAGGGUGAAGUGGAAAGAUUCCAGCCCGGGCCACAUCAGGUGGCCAUGCUCCCUUCCUGCUCCCCUCGCCCCAGCCUCUGUGCCCACUUCUGCGGGGGGGGGCCUUGCGGGGGGGGGGCAGCCAUGCUUCCCAGCACAUCCCAGAGUCUGGCCAAACCCCCAAGAGGUCAAGGAAGCCCCGGAAGUGGGUGCAGAAUCUGGGGGGACCACAGCACUUCUCUCAAAGGGUUCCCUAAUUCUGCACCAGUCAAUAAACGCUCUGAAAAACUAAACGGCUAGGGGUGUAGCUCAGUAUGAGGCCAGGGUUCGUGUUUUGUUUUGUUUUGUUUUUUGGUAC